ACUGGGCACUGACCUGUGAGUGGUGGUUCAUGGGCAAAUGAGUGGAAACGUUAUUAUCCCUUGUCCAGAGGAAACUGGGCAGUACCAGAAGCACCACCUGUGGCACCCAGAGCUGCUCAGAGGAAGGUCUGAAAAUCACAAACCUCAGACUAACCCCUUCAUUUGAGAAACUGGGGCCCAGAGGGCUGAAGUGACUUUUGCAGUGUCAUGAAAUUGUCAACCAAAGGACUGAAUCCCAGCGCACUGUGCUUUCAGCUGUUUUACCCUAUAUUCCUGAAGGAUGAGUUCUAUAGAAUAGAUUAGCUCCUAUCAGUGGGUAGCCCUCUAGGGAGAGAACUGUCAGAGGGUUUUGUUCACACCUUGUUUCAAAUGCUGCUGCUCCUUCAGGACUGUGGACACGGAGACCUGCUUCCUAAGACUUCCCUCCCCACUUGGCAAUCAUCUUGAAUUUGUAUUAGAAGUAAGGAAAUGGGACUGCUUUCUCCAAAUAUUUAUAAUGACUUUAUUGCUCUGAAUUGCCACACAUCAGAGAGAACUUUUAACCAUUAGGGGUCUUGACUUCCUAUUUGUGAAAAGUGGAGUGACUCUGAUCAAGAAGGCUCAACUCCUUUUGGUUGGAGAUCACAGGAAUGGCAUCAUGUCAUGAUGGCCAUAGGGGAGCCACACCAGCUGUACUGUCCCCAGUGGAAAGAGCCAGGACCCAGGACAGGCAGUGACAGCUUCCCAGAGCACAAAUACUGUUGACUUGGGAGGUACCACUGGCAAAGUGGCCUGUGAAGAUCACCUUGUUGUAGCCUUGGUUCCUUGCCCUCCAGAGAGCUGACACCCCUUCACUGGGCUGGAUGAGCAGGAGAGACAGAGACACCUGGCCCUCCCGGAACAGAGUGAAGCUGACAAGGGAACCCCCUGUCGAAGACCCACUAAGAUACACUUCCUCCAGUGCUGUAGGUGUGGCCUAUCCCCAUUAUGAGGAUCCCAGUCAGGCUCAGCAAUGGCAACACCAGAUUUGCUUCUGGAGUUCCAGCUGGAUCUUCUAGAUGAAGCUGGGACGAUGAAUGGAAAAGAUACAAAGUGAAAAGUUGAGUCACAUGGAGGGGAUCCUCUUGGACCACCCUUAUCCUGGCUUCUUUUCCACCUGCCUCUAGGAAGCUUAAGCUUCUAGCUUUCCUAAACAAGGAUGGUGUCUACAUUUGUGAACCAGAGAGGAACUCUGCAUGAAGUCUUGAAAGGUGAGUCUUCAUUAGCCAAGAGACAAAGGCAUAUUGGGAAGGAGCGCCUACCAGGCAGAAGGGAAAGCAUGUGCAAAGCGUGAAGAUAGGAAAUCAAGUUCUGUUUGGAACUAAUGGUGGUACAGGUGGCUCAGGUGUAUGUGAAAAGGCAGGAGAUGAAGCUGGAAAGAAGACCCUCUGCACCACACUUUCAGGGUAAAAUCCACUCUCCUUAGUAUGGCAAUGAAGACUCUUCAACCCUCAGGAUUUCCAGAUUGAAAGGCCUUCCUCCCACACAGAUAAAGACACACCCUUAAGCCCCUCAUGAACUUGGAAUAAGACAGAUCUAGGUUUAAAUACAUGCUCUGCAACAUACAACCUACUUGAUCUUGGGAAAGUUGUUUAAAAUCUCUGGACCCCAAUUUUCCUAUCUCUAAAAUGGGAAUUAAGUACAUUUACCUCAAAGAGAUGAUGUGAGGACUUAGUUAUGAGAAAUACAAUAUAGAAGCAACGCUGAGUAGUUAUGCUGCGAGCCACAUGGGAAGUCUUUAAAAAAUAAAUACAUUUACAUAUUAAAAACAAAAAAACCCCAUGUCACUGGGGGAAGGACAGUGAACCCUUCCCAGAGCAUGUGUGAAGACCGACUCUGGCUGGAAAAACUGAGAAGAAAGAAUACUGCAUACUCCUGUAGGGACAGCAGGAGACUUCCUGGACUCAGAGGAUUAGAGAUUUCCUAACACUCAAGUGAGGGGCAGGAUCACUGCCAACCCCUGCCCAAACCAGGGGUACAGCGCCUGCCUAUGAUCAAGGCUGAGCCAGAAUAACAGAGAGUACAUUUCUUCUCCCCACCAGACUGGGUACUGUCAAGGGAAAGGCAACCACGUUAAGCCAGGAGAGGAGACAAGGCCAUGCAGAGAGACUCUGAGACCCAAGCAUACAGGGAAGGGUGAAAGUGAGGGUGAAAUAGGAACACGGAGAAGUGUCCUCUGUCUAAACAAUACCCACCUUAAGCACGGAAUAACUGAAGAAAUUUGAGGCCAAUGGUGAAUUCAGGGUCACCAUAGCAAUAAAAAACCCAAACCCAGCUCAACGACUGACUUUACUGGGUGAACCACCCCUGUCCCCAACCCUGGCCUCCAGCACACAGGAAUGGCCUAGGAGAAGAGGUGUCUCAUUUCUAUGCAUAAGUUCUAUUUGUUUGAGUCUAUACUCUUUUAAACUUUGUGCCUGACAAUAAAUAAAAAAUUAUGAGACAAACACAAAAAAGCAAGAAAAAACAAUCCGUGGUAAAGAGUAAAGUGAACCAUAGAAUCAGACUCAGAGAUAACCCAGAUAUUGGAAUGAUUACAGACAGGGACAGUUAGAGACAUGAGGUAUGUCUUUGAUGGGUCUGGGAUGGUUAAUUUUAUGUGUUAAGUUGACUGGGCUAAAGGGGCCCAGAUAACUGGUAAAUCAUCAUUUCUAUGUAUGUCUUUGAAGGUGUUUCCAGAGAGAAAACUGAUUCAAGAUAGGCUGAGUGAAUAUGGCCCUCACCCCUAACCAGUGUAGGUGGGCCUAAUCUAAUCCACUGAGGACUGGAAGAGGAUGAAAAAAUGAAGGGAGGCUGACUUUGGUCUCUGCUUGAGCUGGGACUCCUGUCUUCCUCAGGCAUCAGCGUUUCCCGUUCUCAGGCCUUUGGUCUUGGACCAGGAUGUUCGUGAAUCUCUCUCUCCAGACUCAGUAAUAGGAAAAUAAACAACCCAAUUAAAAAUGGGCAAAGUUUAAACAUUUCUCCAAAGAAGAUAUUCAGACCUCAAAUGUACGUAUAAAAAGAUGCUCAACAUCCUCAGAUAGUAGGAAAAUUAAAAGUCUAAUGAGGUAGCACUAUACAGCUAUUAGAAUUCCUAAAAGAAUAUGACAGUUAUCAAGUGCUGACAAAAAAGUGGAGCAACUGAAACUUGCGUGUAUCGCUGAGAGAGGAUAAAAUAUGGUGCAGACACGUGUUUGGAAAUUUCUUAUAAUGUUAAAAUAGAUUUAUUGUACUACCCAGCAUGAUCGCCACCCAAGAGAAAUGAAAACUCAACGUUACACAAAAACCUGUAUGUGAAUAUAUAGAGAAGGUUUAUUCACAACUGCCAAAAACUGGACGUAAGUCAAAUGUCUUUCAUUUCUAUGUAAACAAACUGGGAUACAUCCAGGUAAUGGAAUACUACUCAGCAAUAAAAAGGAACAAACUUCUGAUAGACACACAAUGUAUGAAUCUAAAAUGUAUUAUGGUAAGAAAAAGAACCUACACUACAAAGGCUUAUAUGACAUUCUGGAAAAGGCAAAACCAUAGGGAAGAGAAUUGAUUAAGGGGUUGGGGCAAAGAUUGACCACGAAGAGACAUGAGAUAAUGUUUUGGGUGAUAGAACUGUUCUAUAUCUUGAGUGUGGUAAUGGUCACAUUAUUGUCAAAACUCACAGAACUGUAGAUUAAAAGCGGUGAAUUUACUGUAUAUAUAUUGUACUUCAAUAAAUUUAAUU
rnacentral:lncRNA from 1 species